AUGCGGUGUAUUUGCUGCGUCCGAUCCCGCGCGCAGCUUCACCAACAGCCAGAUCUGAGACCUCUAGGCGCUGGCGGCGCCGCCCGCACCUUCCUCAUUCGCUCCGGUAACCCGUUGGCGCUUCCCCCGCCUAUCCCCGCGCGCCACCGCUGCUUCCUCCACCUUCUCUCCCCGCCGCCACCCCUUGAGCACACCGUUCCUCCGACGAACAGCGCCCGACAGCCGUUUGCAGCUCGGCGCCCACAAGGUGUUUGGCAAAACGCUUGCAAGGAAGAAGAAACCAAGAAGAAGAAGAAGAUGUCUGGAAAAGGGAAGAGGCGAAGCGCCAGGUUGCUCAAGCUCGAGGAGCAGAAGAAUGAUGACAAGGACGGUGGCUGCAUCCUAGAUCCCUGGCACAUCAUCCGGAAUAGCUUCUCCUGCGCCGCGCAAGGGAAGAGAAAAAGGAAUGACGAAAUCCAGGGAGAAGCUUCGUGUGGCCAAGAGAUCGAUGCGGCAUAUACUGAUAACAUGUCAGGCAAGGGCGCGACGUCGGAGCAGAUCAUCGACUACAUUCUCAACAUGCUGGAGCUGAGAGACAGACUCGAGUUGUUUGCGAUGCCGGAUGACAUCCAGGUGGGUGAUUGCGCGGAACGGGUAGAGAGGCCUGGCGAUUUUGCGACGUUAAGGCAGAAGAACACAGAUGGCACGUACAAGACACUAGAGCAAUUCGAGAAGGAUGUGUACAUUGUGUUCCAGAAGGCAAUGUCCAUAAACAGCCAGGACACCAUACCUUACAAAGAGGCCGUGGCGUUGCUGGAUCAAGCCAGGCAGGUUUUCCAGUCUCUGAAGAAGAACCGGAUGUACUCCGAGUCGGACCUGCUGGCGUGGCGUCACAAGCAACUCGACGCCGGGCCCAGCAACGCAGCGAGAGAUCAACAAGGCGGCGAUGCUGCCGUUACACCUGCACAGCAGCGGCCCAGCAUCACGCCGCUGAGGAAGAAGGCCGGCGAGAAGAAACACCAGAUCAAAAGCACGCCAUCGCCCGUAAAGAGAGCAAGAAAAGGAUUCGCAGCAGCGACAAGGGAACCUGGUGGUGCCAGGGAGCUGAACAGGAAGCUCAGUUACAACGAUGGCGCUGGUCGGGCAACGCCGGUGACGCUGCCGCCGCCUGCCUUCCGAGAUGGGCAAGCUACCGUCGUUUAUCAACAUCCGCAGGUGCAGGGGGGGCACACGUACCAGGACAGCCUCCGGCGCUUCGUGCGGCACGCAGGGCUCAAAGCAAGGCUGGCCACCGAGUUCAAGAUCCUCGACUGUGACACUCGGGGCAGGCACAACCCCUCGCCGGCCUCCUACUGGAACGGUUUCACCCCCAACGCUGCCACCUACUACCCCUCAGGUGCCGCCACCACCUCGCCCCGCACGACGUCACCGUCGUCCGGUGCCGAGCGGCCGUUUCCGGAUUGCAAGCUGGAGACGGACGACCUGCUCAGCCUCGUCAUGCUCAUGGGCACGCCCGCCUUCUUGGAGAGAGCCAAGCACAUGUUUGGUUACACGGGCGCUGAGGACAUCUCCAAGGUGACCAGAGCGGCCGACGACGAUGCAAAGGUCACCGUCUCAGAAGCGCCGCAGACAAGUGAUGCAGGCGAUCCAGCGGCCACUUUCGGACCGUUCGCUCCGCCCAAGUUGCCCCUUAGCCGGCUGGGCUUCAGCCAGUUCGCCGGCUCUUCGGCCCAGCCGUUCAUGGUGAAGUCGAAUUCUCCUUGGGAGAAGAGACGAGAAUGA
rnacentral:rRNA from 1 species